rnacentral:hammerhead_ribozyme from 1 species
AUCCAGCUGACGCGUCCCAAAUAGGAUGAAAUGUGCAUCCUUGAU